CCUACGGGAGACAGCAGUGGGGAAUAUUGCACAAUGGGGGAAACCCUGAUGCAGCGACGCCGCGUGAGUGAAGAAGUAUCUCGGUACGUAAAGCUCUAUCAGCAGGGCAGAACAUGACGGUACCUGACUAAGAAGCCCCGGCUAACUACGUGCCAGCAGCCGCGGUAAUACGUAGGGGGCAAGCGUUAUCCGGAUUUACUGGGUGUAAAGGGAGCGUAGACGGCAGGACAAGUCUGGAGUGAAAUCCCGGGGCUUAACCCCGGUACUGCUUUGGAUACUUGGCAGCUGGAGUGCAGGAGGGGUAAGCGGAAUUCCUAGUGUAGCGGUGAAAUGCGUAGAUAUUAGGAGGAACACCGGUGGCGAAGGCUGCUUACUGGACUGUAACUGACGUUGAGGCACGAAAGCGUGGGGAGCAAACAGGAUUAGAUACCCUAGUAGUC
rnacentral:rRNA from 1 species